UACGUAGGGUGCGAGCGUUAAUCGGAAUACUGGGCGUAAAGCGUGCGCAGGCGGUGAUGUAAGACAGGUGUGAAAUCCCCGGGCUUAACCUGGGAACUGCGCUUGUAACUGGCAAGCUAGAGUGUGGCAGAGGGGGGUGGAAUUCCACGUGUAGCAGUGAAAUGCGUAGAGAUGUGGAGGAACACCGAUGGCGAGGGCAGCCCCCUGGGCUAACACUGACGCUCAUGCACGAAGCGUGGGGAGCAAACAGG
rnacentral:rRNA from 1 species